ACAGGUGACCAAAGGGGAGCAGGGACUGAUGCCAACGUGCAUAUUAUUUUAUUUGGGAAUGAGGACAAGUCUGAGGUAUUUCAACUCUCUCAGCCACUGGAGCACCAAGACCCCUUUGAAAGAGGAAAGGUUGAUACAUUCAAGAUUACGACAAAAAAUUUAGGCAGCCUACACUCAAUUGAAAUUGGUCAUGAUGGGAAAGGAUUUGCGAGUGGCUGGUUUCUAGAAAAAGUAGAAAUCACAGAUGCAUCUAAGAAUUCAGUGUAUUGCUUCAACUGUAACAGGUGGCUUGCUGAGGACGAAAGCGAUGGCCGCACUGUAGUGCAACUUUAUCCACAGCUGCUUGAUUUCUGAUUCUUUCUGAGUGUGUUGCUUCUCCAAGUUCACGCGGAUUUGAUUUACUUGUAUUUUAUCAUUUUGAAGGUAUUGUAAUUACUGUGAAGGAAUGUCAAAACAAUGCAUUAAAAACAUCACAGUAAAUUAAACACGUCUAAUGUGAGCACAGCA